AGGUCGAGGCUUCGAUCUGUCGUUUGUUCGCCAAGGAAAAAAUCCCCUCUCCCGAUCAAGGAACCCUCGCCUAGUCGCCGCCGCCCUCGCCAGUCGUCAAUCGCGUUUCCCCGCCGGCCGCCCGGUCCGACGUCCUGGCCACCUGCCUCUCCUUCUUCUCAUCUUCUCGAAGUGUUCCUAAAUUACAGUGCACGCACACACUGUCGUAAAGCGGCACAGGAGAUUAUAAGUCCAAGAUGAAGAGGACCCGUACAAUUGAAUCUUUUUUCCAAUCAGUUGACCGUGAUGUAUUUGCAAGCAUUGAUGAUAUUAAUAUUAUACAGUGCUAUCAAAAAAUAUAUGAGGAAACACAAGGGGCUACUACCUCGUGGACUUUGUGUAAAUGAUCCAGGUCCUUCUACUAUUGCUGGUGAAGAAACGAUGGCCUUGAAUUAGGGAAGUCUUCGGUAAUUUGGUACCAAACCAUGUUUGCAAUGAUGCACUUUGUUAAUCUAUUUGUUUUUACGGAAUUUCCUCUCGUGAUAGUAAUGAAUUUAUAUUUCAUUUUGAA